UAUAUAUAUAUUAGUAUAUAUAUACAUACAUAUAUCUAUCUUAUAAGCACAUUCCCCCUCUCCCACUGCUCAUCAUCAUCUCCAGCUGAUUUUGAUCUUCGCAUUCGAGCAAUUCUCUUCUCUUCUCUUCUCUUCUCUUCUCUUCUCUUUUUUGCUUUCUUGCUCACAACCAAUUUAUCAGUGCUGGGGCGACGAGGAUAUUAGCAUGAAGCAAAGCCCUCACUCUCAUGGGGCACCUCCCCUGCUCCUGCUCAUCUUCACCAUCUUCGUCUUCUUCUUCUUCUUCCUCAUCCACACUUCGAGAGCCUCUCGCGAUCUCUUGAAACAAACACAAAGAGAAGCUGCGAAGUUGUUGACGGCCUCUCACAGACGGGUCAGCAAGGCAAGGCGGAGAGAGAGGAUUUAACGACGAAACUUCGAUAUUCUAAUGGGAAUGGAAGAGUGCGAGGCCGAGCACGGGAAUGAUGAGGAAUGCUUGAAGAGGAGGAUGAUCUCCGAGGCCCAUUUGGACUACAUCUACACGCAGCGCCAGAACAAGCCGUAGAGAUCAGGAAGACACAAUUAAUUAAAAGGGAGGGAAAUUCCCUGCACGAAGUAAUUAGCGUCACCGAGGGUUACAUAUGUUUUUAUAUAGAUAUAGGUUUUGCAGUACAUCUCACCAGACCCCGCCAUAAAACAUAAAAUAAUAAUCUUUAAUCAGUGGCUUAAGCUGGCAUAUUUGUGGGGGAAUAUAUUAAUUAUGUAGCUAGGGGUCUUGGUACCAAGUCAUGGGCGUGCAUGCAUGGUGCGAACCGACGCCGCCCUCGCUACUCCAUAUGAUAUAUGGCUGCUAUUAAUUAAUUGUCUCCUCCGUGUUCUUGCUCAACUAAUCUUGAGUGCACUCACCGGUCGUUAAUUAUUUAUAACUAGUGAUUUUUUUUUUCCUCCA